GGUUAAGCGACUAAGCGUACACGGUGGAUGCCCUGGCAGUCAGAGGCGAUGAAGGACGUGCUAAUCUGCGAAAAGCGUCGGUAAGGUGAUAUGAACCGUUACAGCCGGCGAUGUCCGAAUGGGGAAACCCAGUGCAAUUCGUUGCACUAUCGUUAACUGAAUACAUAGGUUAACGAGGCGAACCGGGGGAACUGAAACAUCUAAGUACCCCGAGGAAAAGAAAUCAACCGAGAUUCCCCCAGUAGCGGCGAGCGAACGGGGAGCAGCCCAGAGUCUGAAUCAGCUUGUGUGUUAGUGGAACGGUCUGGAAAGUCCGACGGUACAGGGUGAUAGUCCCGUACACCAAAAUGCACAGGCUGUGAACUCGAAGAGUAGGGCGGGACACGUGGUAUCCUGUCUGAAUAUGGGGGGACCAUCCUCCAAGGCUAAAUACUCCUGACUGACCGAUAGUGAACCAGUACCGUGAGGGAAAGGCGAAAAGAACCCCGGCGAGGGGAGUGAAAAAGAACCUGAAACCGUGUACGUACAAGCAGUGGGAGCACCUUCGGGUGUGACUGCGUACCUUUUGUAUAAUGGGUCAGCGACUUAUAUUCUGUAGCAAGGUUAACCGUAUAGGGGAGCCGCAGGGAAACCGAGUCUUAACUGGGCGUUAAGUUGCAGGGUAUAGACCCGAAACCCGGUGAUCUAGCCAUGGGCAGGUUGAAGGUUGGGUAACACUAACUGGAGGACCGAACCGACUAAUGUUGAAAAAUUAGCGGAUGACUUGUGGCUGGGGGUGAAAGGCCAAUCAAACCGGGAGAUAGCUGGUUCUCCCCGAAAGCUAUUUAGGUAGCGCCUCGUGAAUUCAUCUUCGGGGGUAGAGCACUGUUUCGGCUAGGGGGUCAUCCCGACUUACCAACCCGAUGCAAACUACGAAUACCGAAGAAUGUUAUCACGGGAGACACACGGCGGGUGCUAACGUCCGUCGUGAAGAGGGAAACAACCCAGACCGCCAGCUAAGGUCCCAAAGUCAUGGUUAAGUGGGAAACGAUGUGGGAAGGCACAGACAGCCAGGAUGUUGGCUUAGAAGCAGCCAUCAUUUAAAGAAAGCGUAAUAGCUCACUGGUCGAGUCGGCCUGCGCGGAAGAUGUAACGGGGCUAAACCAUGCACCGAAGCUGCGGCAGCGACACGAUGUGUUGUUGGGUAGGGGAGCGUUCUGUAAGCCUGCGAAGGUGUGCUGUGAGGCAUGCUGGAGGUAUCAGAAGUGCGAAUGCUGACAUAAGUAACGAUAAAGCGGGUGAAAAGCCCGCUCGCCGGAAGACCAAGGGUUCCUGUCCAACGUUAAUCGGGGCAGGGUGAGUCGACCCCUAAGGCGAGGCCGAAAGGCGUAGUCGAUGGGAAACAGGUUAAUAUUCCUGUACUUGGUGUUACUGCGAAGGGGGGACGGAGAAGGCUAUGUUAGCCGGGCGACGGUUGUCCCGGUUUAAGCAUGUAGGCUGGUUAUCCAGGCAAAUCCGGAUAAUCAAGGCUGAGGUGUGAUGACGAGGCACUACGGUGCUGAAGUAACAAAUGCCCUGCUUCCAGGAAAAGCCUCUAAGCAUCAGGUAACAUCAAAUCGUACCCCAAACCGACACAGGUGGUCAGGUAGAGAAUACCAAGGCGCUUGAGAGAACUCGGGUGAAGGAACUAGGCAAAAUGGUGCCGUAACUUCGGGAGAAGGCACGCUGGUGUGUAGGUGAAGCCCCUGCGGGUGGAGCUGAGACCAGUCGAAGAUACCAGCUGGCUGCAACUGUUUAUUAAAAACACAGCACUGUGCAAACACGAAAGUGGACGUAUACGGUGUGACGCCUGCCCGGUGCCGGAAGGUUAAUUGAUGGGGUUAUCCGUAAGGAGAAGCUCUUGAUCGAAGCCCCGGUAAACGGCGGCCGUAACUAUAACGGUCCUAAGGUAGCGAAAUUCCUUGUCGGGUAAGUUCCGACCUGCACGAAUGGCGUAAUGAUGGCCAGGCUGUCUCCACCCGAGACUCAGUGAAAUUGAACUCGCUGUGAAGAUGCAGUGUACCCGCGGCAAGACGGAAAGACCCCGUGAACCUUUACUAUAGCUUGACACUGAACAUUGAGCCUUGAUGUGUAGGAUAGGUGGGAGGCUUUGAAGCGUGGACGCCAGUCUGCGUGGAGCCAACCUUGAAAUACCACCCUUUAAUGUUUGAUGUUCUAACGUUGGCCCCUGACCGGGGUUGCGGACAGUGUCUGGUGGGUAGUUUGACUGGGGCGGUCUCCUCCCAAAGCGUAACGGAGGAGCACGAAGGUUAGCUAAUCCUGGUCGGACAUCAGGAGGUUAGUGCAAUGGCAUAAGCUAGCUUGACUGCGAGCGUGACGGCGCGAGCAGGUGCGAAAGCAGGUCAUAGUGAUCCGGUGGUUCUGAAUGGAAGGGCCAUCGCUCAACGGAUAAAAGGUACUCCGGGGAUAACAGGCUGAUACCGCCCAAGAGUUCAUAUCGACGGCGGUGUUUGGCACCUCGAUGUCGGCUCAUCACAUCCUGGGGCUGAAGUAGGUCCCAAGGGUAUGGCUGUUCGCCAUUUAAAGUGGUACGCGAGCUGGGUUUAGAACGUCGUGAGACAGUUCGGUCCCUAUCUGCCGUGGGCGCUGGAGAAUUGAGGGGGGCUGCUCCUAGUACGAGAGGACCGGAGUGGACGCAUCACUGGUGUUCGGGUUGUCAUGCCAAUGGCACUGCCCGGUAGCUAAAUGCGGAAGAGAUAAGUGCUGAAAGCAUCUAAGCACGAAACUUGCCCCGAGAUGAGUUCUCCCUGAGACUUUAAGUCUCCUGAAGGAACGUUGAAGACGACGACGUUGAUAGGCCGGGUGUGUAAGCGCAGCGAUGCGUUGAGCUAACCGGUACUAAUGAACCGUGAGGCUUAACCUU
rnacentral:rRNA from 1 species